UUUGAAAUAAAAUGAAGAAUAUUAAAAAAAAGAUAAACUGUGAAAAUAUCUCAAAAAUGAUUUAUCUGAUGGAAAAUAAUAGAAUAGCGAGGAAAAUUAUUAAAACCCAUCUGGCAAUGGGGCCGCUUAAAGCACGAAACAAGGGAUACCUAACAUCUGGAUAUAUUGUAAAAAAUUUAAGAAUAUUAUCUUAACAAAAAGUUUAUUAUGUACGCUAAAAAUGAUUCUCUCAGCAAAUGGUCUAAGGAUUCAAAUUAAACAGGAUGGAUAGGUAUCUUAAAUUUUCAAAAUAUUACUAAAGCCAUCAGUGGUAGUUGUCAAG